rnacentral:rRNA from 1 species
GACUGAGUGGCGGACGGGUGAGUAACGCGUGGGUAACCUGCCUCAUACAGGGGGAUAACAGUUGGAAACGACUGCUAAUACCGCAUAAGCGCACAGGAUCGCAUGAUCCGGUGUGAAAAACUCCGGUGGUACAGGAUGGGCCCGCGUUGGAUUAGGUAGUUGGUGGGGUAACGGCCUACCAAGCCGACGAUCCAUAGCCGACCUGAGAGGGUGACCGGCCACAUUGGGACUGAGACACGGCCCAAACUCC